rnacentral:misc_RNA from 1 species
AAGCUCUCCUACGGACAACAGUUACAAAUGCAUGUGAACACCGUGCAACCAUAAUUACAUAUUUCCUUGCGUCUGACUUUGGAGCAAAACCUCUUCGAGCAUCCUUUGAAACGCGCUGCUUCCACCGUGUUGGCUUUCUGUGUUUAAGACACACGCAACAGCGCUUUCGAGUUGGUUGCUGAUCAAAGACGACUCUCCUUAUCACCGUUAAGACCGGGACUUGGUUUUGAUUCUAUACAGACCGGUUUAGCAACGAAUAUUAUCGGAAUGCAACGGGAUUCUCGAUGCCUGAAUAAGGAAUGUUAAUGGCGCGAGGCUAUUGCAGAGUAUUAGGAGAUAUUUUGAACCAUAGCUGCCUUGGGAGGUCGUUUGGUAAAAUAGAUAUGCAAACUUGAGUGCGCAGGAAGAUUCUUUGUCGUUAAAUCGAAAC